rnacentral:rRNA from 1 species
CCAGACUCCUACGGGAGGCAGCAGUGGGGAAUAUUGGGCAAUGGACGCAAGUCUGACCCAGCAACGCCGCGUGAAGGAAGAAGGCUUUCGGGUUGUAAACUUCUUUUAAGGGGGAAGAGUAGAAGACGGUACCCCUUGAAUAAGCCACGGCUAACUACGUGCCAGCAGCCGCGGUAAUACGUAGGUGGCAAGCGUUAUCCGGAUUUACUGGGUGUAAAGGGCGUGUAGGCGGGAGAGCAAGUCAGACGUGAAAUUCCAGGGCUCAACCCUGGAACUGCGUUUGAAACUGUUCUUCUUGGGUGAUGGAGAGGCAGGCGGAAUUCCGUGUGUAGCGGUGAAAUGCGUAGAUAUACGGAGGAACACCAGUGGCGAAGGCGGCCUGCUGGACAUUAACUGACGCUGAGGCGCGAAAGCGUGGGGAGCAAACAGGAUUAGAUACCCGGGUA